rfam:Schistosoma mattheei strain Denwood, Zambia genome assembly, scaffold: SMTD_scaffold0007110
AUCCGGCUGACGAGUCCCUAAUAGGACGAAACGUGCAUCCUGGAU